UUAUAGGCCAUUACUUUUGUAUCGUUUAUUGCAUUUAUGGAGGGAGAGGUGUAUGCUGGGUAAUGGCACAGCUAGCGACCGGGUGACUUUAUUCACCCGCUUCGGCUGUUAUCAGUCCAUACAAUGGGCGUUAUUAGCAGAAAUCAGUCCCAUAGAUGUGGGCCAUCCACCUGCUAGAUUGUUCAGAAGGUUGUUAUCAUCCAUCCAGAUGGAGGAUCACUGACAGGAGCGUGGGAAGACUCCAGAAUCCACUCUGGCUGGAAUCCGGUGGAUACAGCAGUGUUACAGGUACAGUACGUGAUAUUAAGGGUGAUAUUAUCACUGGGGGAAGACAAGAAGCAGACGUACUUCCAAGAGGGAGCUGCAGUGAGGACACAGCCUGGUCACUGAGGUCAGAGGAGGCGCUGAAAGGUUUCCCUAAUAGUUCCUGGUGAAUCAAAGCAGAACCAUAAAGGUUGCUGGACUGCAUGAUGGCCUUACA